CAAUAGCGUAUAUUUAAGUUGUUGCAGUUCAAAAGCUCGUAGUCGGAUUUUGGCUGAGAACGAUCGGUCCGCCGUUAGGUGUGCACUGAUUGGUCUCAGCUUCCUGGUGAGGAGGUGUGCUUCACGGCCACUUAGUCACCGUGGUUACUUUGAAAAAAUUAGAGUGUUCAAAGCGGGCUUACGCUUGAAUAUAUUAGCAUGGAAUAACACCAUAGGACUCCUGUCCUAUUUCGUUGGUCUCGGGACGGGAGUAAUGAUUAAGAGGAACAGUUGGGGGCAUUCGUAUUUCAUUGUCAGAGGUGAAAUUCUUGGAUUUAUGAAAGACGAACUUCUGCGAAAGCAUUUGCCAAGGAUGUUUUCAUUGA
rnacentral:rRNA from 1 species